rnacentral:rRNA from 1 species
AUUGAACGCUGGCGGCAGGCCUAACACAUGCAAGUCGAACGGUAACAGGAAGAAGCUUGCUUCUUUGCUGACGAGUGGCGGACGGGUGAGUAAUGUCUGGGAAACUGCCUGAUGGAGGGGGAUAACUACUGGAAACGGUAGAUAAUACCGCAUAACGUCGCAAGACCAAAGAGGGGGACCUUCGGGCCUCUUGCCAUCGGAUGCGCCCAGAUGGGAUUAGCUAGUAGGUGGGGUAACGGCUCACCUAGGCGACGAUCCCUAGCUGGUCUGAGAGGAUGACCAGCCACACUGGAACUGGGACACGGUCCAGACUCCUACGGGAGGCAGCAGUGGGGAAUAUUGCACAAUGGGCGCAAGCCUGAUGCAGCCAUGCCGCGUGUAUGAAGAAGGCCUUCGGGUUGUAAAGUACUUUCAGCGGGGAGGAAGGGAGUAAAGUUAAUACCUUGGCUCAUUGACGUUACCCGCAGAAGAAGCACCGGCUAACUCCGUG